CGCGAAUAGCUCAUUACAACAGCCAUAGUUUAUUGGAUGUUUACGUUCCUACAAGGACACCUGCGGUAAUUCUGGAGCUAAUACUUGCGAAAUGCGACAACCUCACGGGAGUCGUGCAUUUAUUAGAUUAAACCAAUCGGUCCUUCGGGACCGCCAUUUGGUGAACUCUGAAUAACUUAGCUGAUCGCACAGUCUCGUACUGGCGACAAAUCUUUCAAGUGUCUGCCUUAUCGACUUUCGAUGGUAGUUUAUACGACUACCAUGGUUGUAACGGGUAACGGAGAAUAAGGGUUCGACUCCGGAGAGGGAGCCUGAGAAACGGCUACCACAUCCAAGGAAGGCAGCAGGCGCGCAAAUUACCCACUCGCAGAACGCGGAGGUAGUGACGAAAAAUAACGAGGUGGCUCUCUAUGAGGUCCAUCAUCGGAAUGGGUACAAUUUAAACCCUUUAACGAGUAUCUAUGAGAGGGCAAGUCUGGUGCCAGCAGCCGCGGUAAUUCCAGCU
rnacentral:rRNA from 1 species